UUUAAAGCCAGGGACCAUGCUUAGCCUUCAUUGAUGUAAGAGUGAUCAGACCUUUUGCUAGCACUGUUGCACAGCCUGUACCAGAUUAACCAGAGCUGCUGCUUCUCCCAGUGAGGCUCUUUGGCUCUGGAAUAUUUGCAGAUCAGACCCUACUGUGAAUGCAAAUGAGACUAUGCAAGUUGGAUCCACGAGUAGGAAAUGUAAAGAUACAUGCCUAAGUCAGGAAGACUGAAUAACUGGCAUUCAGGAGCCCACAGGAUGGUGUCUUAGUGACAGAACAGAAAAAGAAAAUGAAAAUAAUACACAAUCUCUUUCAACUCUGAAGUGGCUGGCUGCACAAUCCCACUUCAAAUGGGUCAUCCCAGAGCCCAGGCUGUCAGGUGAGCUCAUGGUUACAGACAGGCUGAGAAAGAUUUGCCUUCCUUGAUGCUUUUUGCUCUCACCUGAAAUGUCAGCUCUCCUUCUCCAUAUAGCCCUCCCCAGCUUAGCUCUGUACUGACACUGCAAUAGAUAGCAGCUCUGAGAACUGCUUCUUGGUUGCUCAGGUGCUUGACUGUGUAUUUAAAUAACUGAUCUUAAGCAGCUACCUUUAAAAUAAAUGAAAUUCAGGUGAGAGCCAUAAGUAAUGUUUGGGAGAGAACCACAGGGAUCCUUUCUUUGGUGUUAAUUCUGCAAUGCAUAAGUUAAAUUUACAGGAAAAAAAAAAAGGCUAGCCCGAAGUUCAAUGGUACCAUCAUUUUCCUUAUGGUUGCUUCAUUUUGAGCACGUCUCAGUACAAUGUAGAUUUUAUUAUAUUGAAGACUGGAAUUGUCCAAUCCUUAUUGCAUGGAACUGCAUACCAGGAUUUCUACUGUAUUUGAAGGAGUUGCAGAAGAGGGAACUUCAAAGUUCCAAAUCUCUCUAA
rnacentral:lncRNA from 1 species